AUUGAACGCUGGCGGCAGGCCUAACACAUGCAAGUCGAGCGAGCGGCGGACGGGUGAGUAAUGUAUGGGAAUCUGCCCGAUAGAGGGGGAUAACUACUGGAAACGGUGGCUAAUACCGCAUAAUACCGUCUGAACCCAUAUGGGAUUAGCUAGUUGGUGGGGUAAAGGCUUACCUAGCCGACGAUGUCUAGCUGGUCUGAGAGGAUGAUCGGCCACACUGGGACUGAGACACGGCCCAAACUCCUACGGGAGGCAGCAGUAGGGAAUAUUCCACAAUGGGCGAAAGCCUGAUGCAGCCAUGCCGCGUGUAUGAAGAAGGCCUUAGGGUUGUAAAGUACUGUUAGUGGGGAAGCGUUAACCAAAGAAGAAGCAACGGCUAACUCCGUGCCAGCAGCCGCGGUAAUAC
rnacentral:rRNA from 1 species